rnacentral:rRNA from 1 species
GAUGAACGCUGGCGGCGUGCUUAACACAUGCAAGUCGAACGGGAAUUAUUUUAUUGAAACUUCGGUCGAUUUAAUUUAAUUCUAGUGGCGGACGGGUGAGUAACGCGUGGGUAACCUGCCUUAUACAGGGGGAUAACAGUCAGAAAUGGCUGCUAAUACCGCAUAAGCGCACAGAGCUGCAUGGCUCAGUGUGAAAAACUCCGGUGGUAUAAGAUGGACCCGCGUUGGAUUAGCUUGUUGGCAGGGUAACGGCCUACCAAGGCGACGAUCCAUAGCCGGCCUGAGAGGGGGAACGGCCACAUUUGGACUGAGGCACGGCCCAGACUCCUACGGGAGGCAGCAGUGGGGAAUAUUGCACAAUGGGGGAAACCCUGAUGCAGCGACGCCGCGUGAAGGAAGAAGUAUCUCGGUAUGUAAACUUCUAUCAGCAGGGAAGAUAGUGACGGUACCUGACGAAGAAGCCCCGGCUAACUACGUG